GGGACUCCCAAUCACGGCUGAUUGUGAUACAGCCUGGAAUCGAACCAGGGUCUGUAGUGACACCUCUAGCACUGAGAUGCAGUGCCUUAGACCGCUGCACCUGUUAGUGGAGGUCUUGGGGGCCAGGGCCCUGAAGGACCUUUAGGACCCAAAGGUGACCUAGUGGAGUGACGGAACCUCCUGGGGAUACUGGCAUCAGGUUUCCUACACCUAAGGCCAGUUGAAAUCUGUUGUUAGAGAACACCUAGGGUGAUAAAGGAAACCAGGGAAGACCUGGACCCACCAGUCCCAUGGGUAUGAGUGAACCAGGACUGCCGGUAAGUUCACAGUGUUCCUUAGGUUUUAUGACGAGAUAUCUUUCUUACGUCAAUGCUUGACAUAGCCCUCUUGUAGAAUUACCCUGCAGUGUGUCAGGAUAUCCACUAGGGUGAGACAUAUUGUAAAUAAUUGAGCUUUGCUCUUUGCUGAUGGAUAUAAAUUAUUUGUA